rnacentral:rRNA from 1 species
GAUGAACGCUAGCUACAGGCUUAACACAUGCAAGUCGAGGGGAAACGACAUCCAAAGCUUGCUUUUGAUGGGCGUCGACCGGCGCACGGGCUAGUAACGCGUAUCCAACCUGCGCAUAACUUCGGAAUAACCUUGCGAAUGUAACACUAAUACCCAAUGAUAUCCCACGGGAGCUUCGGAAUGGGAUUUAAGAUUUAUCGGUGAUUGAUGGGGAUGCGUCUGAUUAGCUUGUUGGCGGGGUAACGGCCCACCAAGGCAACGAUAAGUAGGGGUUCUGAGAGGAAGGUCCCCCAGAUUGGAACUGAGACACGGUCCAAAAUCCUACGGGAGGCAGCAGUAAGGAAUAUUGGUCAAUGGGCGAGAGCCUGAACCAGCCAAGUAGCGUGCAGGAAGACGGCCCUAUGGGUUGUAAACUGCUUGUAUAAGGGAAUAAAGUGGGUAACGUGUGACUUUUUGCAUGUACCUUAUGAAUAAGGACCGGCUAAUUCCGUG